AUAUUUUCUCUUCUUCUUGUCUGAGGCUUCACAUGGAGAUUUGUGAGGUGGCAUAUGAGAGGAGUAUCGAAGUGGAAGCUUGGAUUAGUGUUCAUUCAAGAAAGUGUUGGUAUGUCCUCACUUGAUUCGAGGACUUCAUGUAUGUUUUGUUUUUCUUAUUGAAAGUAUUUUAAUAGACUUAGAUAUUUCUAUAUGUUGAAGUAUGGGUCGUUUCCGAAGAUAUUCGUAUGUCUAAGAUGGUGACAUUCA